GCUGGCGGCGUGCUUAACACAUGCAAGUGGAGCGACGAACCAGGGCUUGCCCUGGGGCAGAGCCGCGAACGGGUGAGUAACACGUGGGUUACCUGCCUCGAUGACCGGGACAACCCGAGGAAACUCGGGCUAAUACCGGAUGUGCCCGCAAGGGGAAAGGAAGCUUCGGCCUCCGCAUCGAGAUGGGCCCGCGGCCCAUUAGCUUGUUGGUGAGGUAACGGCUCACCAAGGCUUCGAUGGGUAGCUGGUCUGAGAGGACGAUCAGCCACACUGGGACUGAGACACGGCCCAGACUCCUACGGGAGGCAGCAGUGGGGAAUCUUGCGCAAUGCGCGAAAGCGUGACGCAGCAACGCCGCGUGGGGGAAGAAGGCUUUCGGGUUGUAAACCCCUUUCAGUUGGGACGAAGCUUCGCCGGUGAAUAGCCGGCUGGAGUGACGGUACCUUCACAAG
rnacentral:rRNA from 1 species